GCGGACGUGGUGAAAUUGGUAGACACACCAGAUUUAGGUUCUGGCGCCGCGAGGUGUGNGAGUUCGAGUCUCNCCGUCCGCACCA
rnacentral:tRNA from 1 species